UACGUAGGUGGCAAGCGUUGUCCGGAUUUACUGGGCGUAAAGAGCGCGCAGGCGGUCGUCCAAGUCGCGUGUGAAAGCCCCCGGCUCAACUGGGGAGGGUCACGCGAUACUGGUCGACUCGAAGGCAGGAGAGGGUAGUGGAAUUCCCGGUGUAGUGGUGAAAUGCGUAGAUAUCGGAAGGAACACCAGUGGCGAAAGCGGCUUCCUGGUCCAGCACCGACGUUCAGGCACGAAAGCGUGGGGAGCAAACAGG
rnacentral:rRNA from 1 species